GUCCCAUGAUGAGGACGGGUGGUGACGUACUCCUGCAGCCUUUCCCAAGCUUCAGGAAUGGUUUCAUCCCUCGUCUGCUGAAAGAUGGAUAUUCUCCCACGAAGAGC
rfam:Oryza sativa Japonica Group DNA, chromosome 5, cultivar: Nipponbare, complete sequence.